UACAGAGGGUGCGAGCGUUGUUCGGAAUUAUUGGGCGUAAAGGGCGCGUAGGCGGUGCCACAAGUCACUUGUGAAAUCUCCGGGCUUAACUCGGAGUCUGCAGGCGAAACUGUGGUGCUGGAGUGUGGGAGAGGUGCGUGGAAUUCCUGGUGUAGCGGUGAAAUGCGCAGAUAUCAGGAGGAACACCGGUGGCGAAGGCGGGUCUCUGGGCCGAUACUGACGCUGAGGAGCGAAAGCGUGGGGAGCGAACAGG
rnacentral:rRNA from 1 species